UUGGUCUUGGAAUACACAUCGGCGCAUGCGGAAUGCUUACCUGCUGCCUGGGACGCUUCUAGUCGGCUCUUUGCCGCCACCGAUGUGGCUGAAUUCAACACCCUUGAAGUCACGCCCAUCUGCGCUUAUUUAAACCUUGCUUUCGCUGGGCUUCUUUGCAGUCGGUGGCAAACCGUGACCAGCAAGUGACCAUUUUUUACCUUGCCGUCGGCAGGUCGGAGGAAAUGUAGACACCCUGGAUCCACAAGGUGGGCGACUCAAAGCGUCUCUAAACGCCCGAGGAGGUGUAAGAAGGAGUAUCGCGUUCCCAAGCGACCCGAAAUGGGGAGCAGAAGAAAUGAAAACGGGCGUAUCAACUACCUCACAAUGAUUCCACCACUCAGGCCUCCUGGAUUCACAAGGUGGGCAAUUCAGGAGGCGCAAGACCAGGGGCAAGACCAGGCGGCGAACGUCAUCUGGUGGUGCUUCAAGAAAUCCACCGGCGCACGCGAACAAGACCACAGCGUAAGCGCUAGGAAAGUCGGGAG